rnacentral:lncRNA from 1 species
CUGUGUGACCCUGAGCAUCUCACUUAACCUUUCUGUGCUUCAGGUCCCGAGUUGUAACAGCUCCCCCUUCUCUGGGCUACUGUGAGCACUGCGGGGUCAUACACCUGGAGGGCUAAGGCCGGAGGAUUACACUCAGGGAGCUGGGUCCAGAGCGCUGGCAAAGCCCAGCACUGUAAGGAAUUCAAGAGUACGCUAAUGACAUUUCCCAUUGUGACCUGUGAAUAUAUGGGAAUGAAAAUUGCUGGGAUCGCCUCUGCUAUGCAUGGCCUCUGAUGGGGGCAUUCCAGGUGAGUGUCAUGGAGGGCUUCCAGCAUGAGUGGAGUAUAAGGGCCCACUCUUGCCUUUUUAAUUGGAGUGAGGGAGGGUAAAGAGAAGCAACCAGGGAAAGUGCAUGGAGUGUAGGAAUGCUGGUCUUUGGGGAAUGCAAUCCACUUUCCACAAAUAGCAGAGAUUCCUGAAAGGCUUUGGGCAGGCUCUGCUGGGUAGCCAUGGCAAUGCGGUGCUUCUUGCCUCCCUGCUGCUGGAGACAGUGAGUUUUCUCCCCCCUCCCCAGGGGCCUUGGUGGUGCAGCCAGGACUUACUUC